CUCCGGUUGAUCCUGCCGGACCCGACUGCUAUCAGAGUGGGACUAAGCCAUGCGAGUCAACAUAGCAAUAUGUGGCAUACGGCUCAGUAACACGUAGUCAACAUGCCCAGGGGACGUGGAUAACCUCGGGAAACUGAGGAUAAACCGCGAUAGGUCAUCACUUCUGGAAUGGGUAAUGACUUAAAUCUAUAUGGCCCCUGGAUUGGACUGCGGCCGAUCAGGCUGUUGGUGAGGUAAUGGCCCACCAAACCAGUAACCAGUACGGGCCUUGAGAGAGGGGGCCCGGAGAUGGACACUGAGAGAAGGGUCCAGGUCCUACGGGGCGCAGCAGGCGCGAAACCUUCGCAAUGCGCGAAAGCGUGACGAGGUUAAUCCGAGUGGUUCCCGCUGAGGGAAUCUUUUGUCGGCUGUAAAAAGGCCGGCGAAUAAGGGGAGGGCAAGUCUGGUGUCAGCCGCCGCGGUAAUACCAGCUCCUCGAGUGGUCGGGGCGAUUAUUGGGCCUAAAGCAUCCGUAGCCGGUUCCGUAGGUCCUCUGUUAAAUCCAACGGCUUAACCGUUGGCCCGCAGAGGAUACCGCGGGACUAGGAGGCGGGAGAGGCAGGCGGUACUCUACGUGUAGGGGUAAAAUCCUUUGAUCCGUAGAAGACCACCAGUGGCGAAGGCGGCCUGCCAGAACGCGCUCGACGGUGAGGGAUGAAAGCUGGGGGAGCGAACCGGAUUAGAUACCCGGGUAGUCCCAGCUGUAAACGAUGCAGACUCGGUGAUGAGUUGGCUUAUUGCUAACUCAGUGCCGCAGGAAAGCCGUUAAGUUUGCCGCCUGGGGAGUACGGUCGCAAGACUGAAACUUAAAGGGAUUGGCGGGGGAGCA
rnacentral:rRNA from 1 species